rnacentral:rRNA from 1 species
AUUGAACGCUGGCGGCAGGCCUAACACAUGCAAGUCGAACGGUAACAGAAAGCAGCUUGCUGCUUUGCUGACGAGUGGCGGACGGGUGAGUAAUGUCUGGGAAACUGCCUGAUGGAGGGGGAUAACUACUGGAAACGGUAGCUAAUACCGCAUAACGUCGCAAGACCAAAGAGGGGGACCUUCGGGCCUCUUGCCAUCGGAUGUGCCCAGAUGGGAUUAGCUAGUAGGUGGGGUAACGGCUCACCUAGGCGACGACCCCUAGCUGGUCUGAGAGGAUGACCAGCCACACUGGAACUGAGACACGGUCCAGACUCCUACGGGAGGCAGCAGUGGGGAAUAUUGCACAAUGGGCGCAAGCCUGAUGCAGCCAUGCCGCGUGUAUGAAGAAGGCCUUCGGGUUGUAAAGUACUUUCAGCGGGGAGGAAGGGAGUAAAGUUAAUACCUUGGCUCAUUGACGUUACCCGCAGAAGAAGCACCGGCUAACUCCGUG